UCUUCCUCCAAGGUAUUAAUAGCGAGGCAAAGAUAAGGAUCAGUGAAUUCGUCUGACAUAACCUUCUCCUCUUCCCCUCAUCUAUCUCAAUAUGUGUUUUGUUAGCUUACAUUCUAGCUCAAGCUCUAGUUUUGAAAAUGUGAGUUUCAUUAAUGCUAACCGUUUCCUAGGGUUAGCAUCCCUCUAGAUUGUGUUGCAGUUG
rnacentral:lncRNA from 1 species